AUUUGCUAUACCAAUGAUUUGGACGGAACCAAAGGAUCAUUAUCCAAACUUGUCUUCGGCCAAGAGACCCAUCCUACAUAGUGCCGAACUGCCUGUGCCGAUACCUCCAAAUCGAUCAAAAAGUGAGAAUUCUAGUCC